rnacentral:rRNA from 1 species
UACGUAGGGUGCGAGCGUUGUCCGGAAUCACUGGGCGUAAAGGGCGCGUAGGCGGCUUGAUAAGUAGGGGGUGAAAUCCCGGGGCUCAACCCCGGAAUGGCCUUCAAAACUCCCAGCCUAGAGUUCGAGAGAGGUGAGUGGAAUUCCGAGUGUAGAGGUGAAAUUCGUAGAUAUUCGGAGGAACACCAGUGGCGAAGGCGGCUCACUGGCUCGACACUGACGCUGAGGUGCGAAAGCGUGGGGAGCAAACAGGA